UUUCCGUAGGUGAACCUGCGGCAGGAUCAUUAUCGAAUAACCGAGGAAAGAGGGCUGUCGCUGAUCCGACCGAGUGUGCACGCCCGCGAGCCACGGUACACAUCCAGCUCACCCCUAUGUGCACCACCGCGUCAGUCGCCCCAUGGCGUGGUCGGCGGGCGCCUUACGUCUUCACACAUCGUCUGGGUCGAGUGGAGGAUGUGUUUUGUGCGUUUGCGACCACGCAUUCCAGACAACUUUCAACAACGGAUCACUUGGUUCUUGCACCGAUGAAGAACC
rnacentral:misc_RNA from 1 species